rnacentral:rRNA from 1 species
GCUCAGGAUGAACGCUGGCGGCGUGCUUAAUACAUGCAAGUCGAGCGAAUGGAUUAAGAGCUUGCUCUUAUGAAGUUAGCGGCGGACGGGUGAGUAACACGUGGGUAACCUACCCAUAAGACUGGGAUAACUCCGGGAAACCGGGGCUAAUACCGGAUAAUAUUUUGAACUGCAUAGUUCGAAAUUGAAAGGCGGCUUCGGCUGUCACUUAUGGAUGGACCCGCGUCGCAUUAGCUAGUUGGUGAGGUAACGGCUCACCAAGGCGACGAUGCGUAGCCGACCUGAGAGGGUGAUCGGCCACACUGGGACUGAGACACGGCCCAGACUCCUACGGGAGGCAGCAGUAGGGAAUCUUCCGCAAUGGACGAAAGUCUGACGGAGCAACGCCGCGUGAGUGAUGAAGGCUUUCGGGUCGUAAAACUCUGUUGUUAGGGAAGAACAAGUGCUAGUUGAAUAAGCUGGCACC